CGGAGGGAUCAUUACUGAGUUUACGCUCUACAACCCUUUGUGAACAUACCUAUAACUGUUGCUUCGGCGGGUAGGGUCUCCGCGACCCUCCCGGCCUCCCGCCUCCGGGCGGGUCGGCGCCCGCCGGAGGAUAACCAAACUCUGAUUUAACGACGUUUCUUCUGAGUGGUACAAGCAAAUAAUCAAAACUUUUAACAACGGAUCUCUUGGUUCUGGCAUCGAUGAAGAACGCAGCGAAAUGCGAUAAGUAAUGUGAAUUGCAGAAUUCAGUGAAUCAUCGAAUCUUUGAACGCACAUUGCGCCCGCCAGCAUUCUGGCGGGCAUGCCUGUUCGAGCGUCAUUUCAACCCUCAAGCUCUGCUUGGUGUUGGGGCCCUACAGCUGAUGUAGGCCCUCAAAGGUAGUGGCGGACCCUCUCGGAGCCUCCUUUGCGUAGUAACUUUACGUCUCGCACUGGGAUCCGGAGGGACUCUUGCCGUAAAACCCCCAAUUUUCCAAAGGUUGACCUCGGAUCAGGUAGGAAUACCCGCUGAACUUAAGCAUAUCAAUAAGCGGAGGAAAAGAAACCAACAGGGAUUGCCUCAGUAACGGCGAGUGAAGCGGCAACAGCUCAAAUUUGAAAUCUGGCCCUAGGCCCGAGUUGUAAUUUGCAGAGGAUGCUUUUGGUGCGGUGCCUUCCAAGUUCCCUAGAACGGGACGCCAGAGAGGGUGAGAGCCCCGUACAGUUGGACACCAAGCCUUUGUAAAGCUCCUUCGACGAGUCGAGUAGUUUGGGAAUGCUGCUCAAAAUGGGAGGUAUAUUUCUUCUAAAGCUAAAUACCGGCCAGAGACCGAUAGCGCACAAGUAGAGUGAUCGAAAGAUGAAAAGCACUUUGAAAAGAGGGUUAAACAGCACGUGAAAUUGUUAAAAGGGAAGCGCUUGUGACCAGACUUGCGUCCGGUGAAUCACCCAGCUCUCGCGGCUGGGGCACUUCGCCGGCUCAGGCCAGCAUCAGCUCGCUGUCGGGGACAAAAGCUUCAGGAACGUAGCUCUCUUCGGGGAGUGUUAUAGCCUGUUGCAUAAUACCCUUCGGCGGGCUGAGGUACGCGCUCCGCAAGGAUGCUGGCAUAAUGGUCAUCAGCGACCCGUC
rnacentral:rRNA from 1 species